rnacentral:lncRNA from 9 species
GCUGGGGUGAAAAUGAGGGGAAAGGACUGGGCUCGGGACUCCCGGGGGGCGGGAAGUGGAAGAAGAAAACACACGCCCGCUUUCCUGCUGCGUUUAGCGGCCUCCCCGUGAACGCUGGAAAGCGGGAGCCUACUGCUGCUCUCAUCUCCCAGGGCCUCUUUCUCUUUUCUUGCCGAAAUUUAGGCCCAACGUAAGCGGACCCCUCUCUAACUCCGCAAUCCACGCACACCUCACGGAUUACUCCCCUCCCGCAGCAACCCAAACUGUUAAUCUUGUCUUCCGCUCGCUCCCACCCCCAGCGCGCCUUUGCGACCAGUAAGGUACAGUGCUGGCUCAGCUGGGGUGCGGUCUGAACCCUUCAAGAAAGGUUAGCGGCUCGCGAUCUUUGGCCACUUUCAUGCGCAGGUUUUAAAGAUGCCUCUUCCCAAGCGCUGCACCACAUUGUUUAGACUAUGGUAAUCCCCUGAGUUUAGAAUUUAAUUAGCUGGCUUCUUGAAUUGUUUUACUGAAUUUAAAGCGAAGGAGAUCGGGCGGCAUUAGCCCCACGAUUGAGAAAGAGCCAGUUUUCCCUGGUCUAGUAAACAUGCAAACUAGCCUGUGUGUUAAUAACAUAUAGCUAAGUAGUCUAAGUUUGGAUUUCGGAAAUGACACUAUCAUAUUCAGGAAUGUCGAUAAAGUCUCCAACCCAUAGCUUUUGUUUUGACUGAGCCCUGAAUGGAUAUUCUAGGCAACUGUUUAACUUUUGAUUAUUUGAGCCUGAGAUACAAUGGCUUUGUUAAAAGCUACUUAGAGAAAGUGAUAGGGAUUGUUUAGAUAGCCACCUGAAGAAUGGCUGGCGUCGGUGCACUUCUGAAGAAGUGUACAAUCAUAAACUUCUCUUACACUCCGUGUAAGAUCUGUUGGGCUAAUGCUAGGACUUAUGUUUAUCUUUUUGUCUUCUAAAGUCUAAUGCAUUUGUUUGAGAAACAUUUCUUGAAGAUCUGAGAGUUCUGUAACUCCCACUCAUGUGGUAAAAUUUUUCUGGGCUGCAUAGGGCAAGCAACCGAAGUCAUCAGACUGGCUGUGCUCCACGAGGCCACUGGAGACCCCAGGGCGUUCCACGAGACUGCUGCCAUCCGCCGCAGCAUUAUUCUCAGCUGCAUGGUUGAAGCCGGGUCAAGGAACCCCAUGAUCUACCUCGUAGGAAAGAAAAGGGAGCAUGGGGGAUAUUUUGUCCUAUAUUUGAAGGCCUACGCUCAAAAUUAGCAAACGUCAUUUCUGCUCCAUUCCAUCGUGAGUAUGUAGGCAUUUCAUCCCACGGCUUCAAACAAGGCUGAGAAGUGUGUUCUCUGACGAUGCACCAAGCCACAGCUGUUUUACUGAAGAGGAGGGACAGGAUGGAUUGCGAUGGACAUUUCAAGCAUCCAUCCCAUAGGCUCUCCUGUCAGUUUUUGUAACCCCCAGUGUUCUACUCUGCAGGCUUUAAAGUGCAAGCUCUAAACCUGUAUCCAUCAGAUUCUCUAGUCCCUAGAGUAAAUAUACCUUGCGUCAGUUUAAAAAAAUAAAUUCUUUCACACUCUGUAGGAAGUUAUGAGUAAUAUGUUAA